rnacentral:lncRNA from 1 species
UCACCAUCUUUUCCGUAAGCAAUGUUGGCUCGGAUGGUGUCAUUGAACAAGAUCGGUUCCUGGCUCACUAGGCCCAUCUGCAGUCUGAGCCACUUGAGUUGGAACUUAUGUAACUCGUAUCCGUCCAUAGUGAUACAACCCGAACCCGGAUUGUAAAAUCUUUGUAGGAGUGAAAUAAUCGUCGAUUUCCCACUUCCGCUCUCCCCAACCAAUGCAACUUUACCUUGCCACUAUUGAUGGUUAAGCAUAGAUCACGAAAUAUCUCGACAUUAGGUCUGGUUGGAUACCGAAAACUAACAUGACGAAGCUCGAUUUCCCCUUUUACAUGUUGUAAUAUCAUUCCGGAUUCAUCACUUGGGUCUAUCUCUGACUCGCGAUCAAGAAUGGCAAAUAC